rnacentral:siRNA from 1 species
UGUUUUCUCGAACCGAAUGGC